CCUACGGGAGGCAGCAGUGGGGAAUAUUGGGCAAUGGGCGCAAGCCUGACCCAGCAACGCCGCGUGAAGGAAGAAGGCUUUCGGGUUGGAAACUUCUUUUCUCAGGGACGAAGAAAGUGACGGUACCUGAGGAAUAAGCCACGGCUAACUACGUGCCAGCAGCCGCGGCAAUACGUAGGUGGCAAGCGUUAUCCGGAUUUAUUGGGUGUAAAGGGCGUGUAGGCGGGAGCGCAAGUCAGAUGUGAAAACUCAGAGCUCAACCCUGAGCCUGCAUUUGAAACUGUGUUUCUUGAGUGCUGGAGAGGCAAUCGGAAUUCCGUGUGUAGCGGUGAAAUGCGUAGAUAUACGGAGGAACACCAGUGGCGAAGGCGGAUUGCUGGACAGUAACUGACGCUGAGGCGCGAAAGCGUGGGGAGCAAACAGGAUUAGAUACCCCAGUAGUC
rnacentral:rRNA from 1 species